AUUGGGUUGGCCAGAAAGUUCGUUUUGGUUUUUCCAUAAUAUCUUAUGGAAAAACCCAAAUGAAUUUUUUGGCCAAGCCAA
rnacentral:miRNA from 1 species